ACGGGGCCCGGCACAAGCGGUGGAGUAUGUGGUUUAAUUCGAUGCAACGCGAAGAACCUUACCUGGUCUUGACAUCCCGGAGACCCUUAGGAAACUAGGGGGUGGCUUCCAUCUGGAAGAAUCUGGAGACAGGUGCUGCAUGGCUGUCGUCAGCUCGUGUCGUGAGAUGUUGGGUUAAGUCCCGCAACGAGCGCAACCCUUGCCUUUAGUUGCCAGCAGUUCGGCUGGGCACUCUAAAGGGACUGCCGGUGUUAAACCGGAGGAAGGUGGGGAGUGACGUCAAGUCCUCAUGGCCUUUAUGACCAGGGCUACACACGUACUACAAUGGCCGAUACAAAGGGCAGCGACACUGCGAGGUGAAGCCAAUCCCGUAAAAUACGGUCUCAGUCCGGAUUGGAGUCUGCAACUCGACUCCAUGAAGUUGGAAUCGCUAGUAAUCGUGGAUCAGCAUGCCACGGUGAAUACGUUCCCGGGCCUU
rnacentral:rRNA from 1 species